AGACACCUGGUAUACAGGUUUUGACAGAUGUUGAUCAUUUUGGUUGGGCACACCCUAACUACAAACGGCAACUAAACUGUAACAAUAUCCACCUGAUUUUAGCUUCAUAUGCGCUGUGUUUUUACAAGGGCAACAUGUAUAAACAAGACGAAAAGUGGAGGGACGGUUGUAAAUACGAGUGUACAUGUACAGACGCCGUCACAGGAUAUUACAAAUGUAGAUCUGUAUGCCCAAACUAUCAACAAUUACCAUCUAGCUGCACUUUUGUACGGGAUCCAAAUAACCCGUGUUGUCAGGUACCGCAAUGUACGU